AGCUUUAUAGUCAAUGGAAUGAUAUUAGACUGCAAUUCUGAAGUAGUAAUUUUACUAAAGCUU
rnacentral:tRNA from 1 species